GUCCAGCCCGCUCAGAAACUCAAGGAAUUGACGGGGCCCGCACAAGCGGUGGAGCAUGUGGUUUAAUCGAUGAUACGCGAGGAACCUUACCUGGGCUCAAAUGUAUGUUGACGUAUUCUGAAAGGGAUACUUCUUCGGACAAUAUACAAGGUGCUGCAUGGUUGUCGUCAGCUCGUGCCGUGAGGUGUCGGGUUAAGUCCCAUAACGAGCGCAACCCCUAUCAUUAGUUGCCAUCAGGUCAAGCUGGGGACUCUAAUGAAACUGCCUACGCAAGUAGUGAGGAAGGUGGGGAUGACGUCAAAUCAGCACGGCCCUUACGUCCAGGGCUACACACGUGCUACAAUGGCCGGUACAAAGGGCAGCUACCUGGUGACAGGAUGCUAAUCUCAAAAGCCGGUCUCAGUUCGGAUCGGAGUCUGCAACCCGACUCCGUGAAGCUGGAAUCGCUAGUAAUCGCGCAUCAGCCAUGGCGCGGUGAAUACGUUCCCGGGCCUU
rnacentral:rRNA from 1 species